rnacentral:misc_RNA from 1 species
GAUGAAGAACGUAGUGAAAUGCGAUAAGUAAUGUGAAUUGCAGAAUUCAGUGAAUCAUCGAAUCUUUGAACGCACCUUGCGCCUUUGGUAUUCCGAAAGGCACACCUGUUUGAGCGUCAUGAAUACCUCAAUCUCCAUCUUUUCUUCGGAUUGAUGGGUGACUUGGAUGUUGAGCCCUGCUGGUAUGCUAUAUCAGCUGGCUUUAAACUUAUUAGCCGGCUCUGUACUGGAUCGGUUUGACUCGACGUGAUAAUAUUAUCGUUGAGGAUGCAUGUCUCAUGCAGCCGGAAAGUAUCAAAGCAGCUUCUAGCUUGCCUUUAGUGCACUUUUACAUUUUAGACCUCAGAUCAGGUGGGACUACCCGCUGAACUUAAGCAUAUCAAUAAGCGGAGGA